UACAUAGGGUGCAAGCGUUAUCCGGAUUCACUGGGUUUAAAGGGUCCGCAGGCGGACUUAUAAGUCAGUGGUGAAAGCCUACAGCUUAACUGUAGAACUGCCAUUGAUACUGUAAGUCUUGAAUUCGGUCGAAGUGGGCGGAAUGUGUAGUGUAGCGGUGAAAUGCUUAGAUAUUACACAGAACACCGAUAGCGAAGGCAGCUCACUAGGCCUGGAUUGACGCUCAGGGACGAAAGCGUGGGAUCAAACAGG
rnacentral:rRNA from 1 species